rnacentral:rRNA from 3 species
UACGUAGGGGGCAAGCGUUGUCCGGAAUCAUUGGGCGUAAAGCGCGUGUAGGCGGCCUUGUAAGUCCGUUCUGAAAGCCCGGGGCUCAACCCCGGGAGGCGGAUGGAUACUGCAAGGCUCGAGUACGGAAGAGGCGAGUGGAAUUCCCGGUGUAGCGGUGAAAUGCGCAGAUAUCGGGAGGAACACCAAUGGCGAAGGCAGCUCGCUGGGACGUUACUGACGCUGAGACGCGAAAGCGUGGGGAGCAAACAGG